UCCCCGCUGGGCACCGCGAGGCUGGGCCUCGUAAGCGCAAAAUUGCGGCAUCGGAGGGGUAGCGUGCUCCGAUGCCGCAGCUUCGGAGGAUGCGGAGGCGCGGACGGGGGGCCUCAGUUUCCCCGCGGGGGGCCCCUGUGACCUAAGUCAGCUGAUGACCAAGAGCCCAGACCGGCGCUGGAGGAGGCGGUGUGGACCCUGAGGAAGGACCCGUGGUGGCCGCCUUGAGGAGGGGCGCGCCUCACGUCCUCUGCCUCUCUGACCCCUGCAGUGAGAACGGACCUGUGGCUGCCAAAGAUUCCUGAAAAGAAAGCCGAGUUGGAAGACAAUGCUGGUCCUGUAAGACGAACAAAAAAGACGGAGCGUCUGUCCCUGUAGGAACUGCUUGUCAGCCCCAGUUCCGGGCAGAACCAGGGAGUGGAUCAUCAGAUCGGACAUGUUCAGUCGCUCGUAUAAGGCUCCACGCCUAGCACAGAGCUCCAGCGUGGGACCCGAACUCACAAUCCUGAG